ACUUAAAUAGUUUAUAUAAAAUUUUAGUUUGUGGAUCUAGAGAUGUAAUUUUUACUUUAAGUA
rnacentral:tRNA from 1 species